CAGAUGUCUCUUGAUUAUUGGUUACUGUGUAAUCAAUGCCACAUCAGCCUAAGUUGUUAUAAUGUUUGUUAGGUGGUUAAAUGAUUUGUUAGUUGGUUAAUUGGGGAUUUUUCAUAUUUUCAUCAAGGUCUUCAAUGGCUCGGGUCCACUAUGGUUCAGGUUUCUGUGACUGAGAGCAGAGUUUGCUUUGUUUGCACCGUUGAAUCACUGCUUCUUUUUCAUGUUCUCUUGCUGAUGAAAGGCGAGUGUGCGUGUUGCUCAUCUGGGUAACUGCCGCAACGUUGUUGGGGGUAAAUGAUCACAUGGAUUAGUUGACAUCAGAGGGUAUAUUAGUUGUCAAUAAAAUUCAUUCUCUCAAUCUCUCUUUAGUAUGUUGUAAUUCUCGAAGGAUCACAUCUGGGUCAUCAAUUUAUGAAAGUUUAGACCUAUGUGCAGCCCAGGUGUUUGACGAAAUGCCCAGCUCAAAAGUUUUAUGUGAAGGUUAAGUUUCUCAGUUACUUGCUUUGAUUCUUUUAGUAUUGCGUAAAUCAAUUAGUUUGUUGUUAUGGGCAAGAAGCCAUUUAAGUUGAGAUGUUGAGAUUUAAAAGCAUGGAAUCAUCUUUCUAGUGCGUCUUUUCUGGGUUCUUCAAGUUGUUUCUGAUAUUUGGGUUCAAGAUUCUUCAUUGCUUCAAGAUCAAUGUUUGUCGUGGACUUCAUUUGGUUUGCUGGAUUUUCGAAUCAUGAACUGUGCAAUUUUUAUGGUGUCCAAUUCUGUCUCUUUGCCUCACUGAAAUUCUACUGUCUCUUUAUUGGGUUUGAAUUGUUCAGAAGCUUAUAACAGCCUAUAAUGUUGAGUCUAACCAGCUCAGUUGUUAGCAUGUAUCUACUAUAAGUCCGGUUAUACGUGUGUUUAGAGAAAGAUGAAAUUUGAAGAAGUUGUUGACGGUAAAUCCCACGAAGGGUAAUCCUACAUAGAUGUUAAUUUUUUGUUAUUAAAAUUGUGAAGGCCGAUGCCAUUGUUAAAAGGAGUUGUUUUUGGUAAAAUCCACAAAGGGCAAUCCCGUGGUACUAUAGUUAAGGCCGAUGCCACACUAUAGUUUGUUAAUUUUCUGUUUGUAAAUAUUAAAGGAGCCAAUGUUGAAUGAGUUGUUGACGGUCAAUCCCACGAAGGGUAAUCCCAUAAGAAUUUGUAUACCGGCAUGAGGAUGUGCUACGACUUCUUUAUAGAAGGAUGUUCUUUGUGAAGCUCCUGUUAGAGGUAGAGGAAGGGUGUCAUGAUUUCAAUCCACUGGUUCACUUGCUAAGGUUUUUUCAGUUUGUAUGACAUCAAGUGUUCUUAGAAUGAUCUGGCAAAUCACACUCCUUUAAUAAGGGAUUCUAUUAAACAGGAUGGUGCCUUACCGAGAUGCAAGUUGUUUGUGAAUUUUCUUGAAGAGAACUCCACAAAGAGGAAACUAUUUGAGUUGUGGUUGAUGAUAUAGAAGAUGAUAUGGUUGUUGAUGCAGAAAAUGAGUCUAAUGACAUUGAUAGCAUGUUUAGCUCUCCGUGCUUUCUGUUUCAAAUAGUGGUGCAUUGUUUAACAACUUGGAGUAUUCACAAGAGAUGGAGAUCUUGGGUUUUGUGCUUUCUGGAAAUUCUCAUUUCUAUUGCUGCUGCUCCACUGUGGUUGUCUGAUUAAAACAAAAGGAUAAUGCGCAAACAUUAGUGCCAAAAAAAAAACUUUGAUACAUGAUUGGCAGGCAUAACAGAGGAGCCAUAUGUUGGACCUGGUGCAAGGCAGGCCAGUUUGGAGAUUGCAAAGAUCAAUAAUAAGCAGAUGUCUCAAAUUGCAGGACUCAACAGUUUAUCUCAUGCUCACAUUGCUGCAAUCUCAGGCUUGGUAACCUAGCUGAGAUUGAGGGGGGAUGAAGACAGAUGUCUCUUGAUUAUUGGUUACUGUGUAAUCAAUGCCACAUCAGCCUAAGUUGUUAUAAUGUUUGUUAGGUGGUUAAAUGAUUUGUUAGUUGGUUAAUUAUUUACUUGUGGUUAAGUAAGCUUUUGUUGUUUAGUAUAUAAUGCACUUCAACUUACAAAUGUAGUUAGUUGUCAUUUUCCUCAAAUAUAUAAAACUCUCUCUCUCUCUAA